UGGGGAAUUUUGGACAAGGGGGGAAACCCUGAUCCAGCCAUCCCGCGUGUGCGAUGAAGGCCUUCGGGUUGUAAAGCACUUUUGGCAGGAAAGAAACGUCAUGGGUUAAUACCCCGUGAAACUGACGGUACCUGCAGAAUAAGCACCGGCUAACUACGUGCCAGCAGCCGCGGUAAUACGUAGGGUGCAAGCGUUAAUCGGAAUUACUGGGCGUAAAGCGUGCGCAGGCGGUUCGGUAAGAAAGAUGUGAAAUCCCAGAGCUCAACUUUGGAACUGCAUUUUUAACUACCGGGCUAGAGUGUGUCAGAGGGAGGUGGAAUUCCGCGUCUAGCAGUGAAAUGCGUAGUUAUGCGGAGGAACACCGAUGGCGAAGUCAGCCUCCUGGUAUAACACAGACGCUCAUGCACGAAAGCGUGGGGAGCAAACAGG
rnacentral:rRNA from 1 species